GACGAACCGUGCGAACGUUGUUCGGAAUCACUGGGCUUAAAGGGCGCGUAGGCGGGCUGUCAAGUCUGGGGUGAAAUCCCGCGGCUCAACCGUGGAACUGCCUUAGAUACUGACGGCCUCGAGGGAGGUAGGGGCGUGCGGAACUGUAGGUGGAGCGGUGAAAUGCGUUGAUAUCUACAGGAACUCCGGUGGCGAAAGCGGCGCGCUGGACCUCUUCUGACGCUGAGGCGCGAAAGCUAGGGGAGCAAACGGGAUUAGAAACCCCAGUAGUCC
rnacentral:rRNA from 1 species